GAGGCUGGUGACUCGGAUGAAUUUAUCCUCAGCAGCAGAAGUGACUCUUGGUCUUCCUUUCCUGUCCUCACUUGAGCCAGUUUCGUUGUAACACUUGAUUGUUUUUCCGACUGUACUUGGGGACGCAUUAAAAGUUUUAGCAAUUUUCCGGACUGACUGACAUUAAGUUUUUAAAGUAAUGAUGAACUGUCGUUUCUCUUUACUUAGCUGAUUGGUUCUUGCCAUAAUAUGAAUUCUAACAGUUGUCAAAUAAGGCUGUCAGUUGUGUACCAACCUGACUUCCAAGCAUAUGUGCCAACAAAGCCAAGGGUAGCUACUUUGAGGAAUCUAAACUAUAAGAUAUAUUUAGAGUUAUUUAUUUAAAGAAAUAACGCCAACAGCUAAUCCUUUACAGGACCACCAGAAUCACCAUGUAUGAUGUCACCACCGUGCACUGAAAAAAGUACAAAAAAAAGAAAGAAGAAAUAUAAGCUGUUGCGUCAUUAAAUGGUUGAAGAAUAAUUGUGAAGCAGGUCAGAACACAGAGGAGACAAAACCAUGCAUGAUGUCAGCAAAAUGGUUAACUUUUCUUUGUACUGGUGUCAGGGGGACCCUUUUAUGGAGCGGUUUGCUUUGUUGGCAAGUAUGAUUAUCAUCUACCAUAUUUUGACUUUCAACCACAUCCUUUAUUCAAGGAAAUCUUGGAACAUCUGGUGGUGCAGCAACAGCAGGAAUGUCUCCCUGCACCCCCUGCAGCUAUAGGACCCUAGUCUUCCCCUCAACAAGUUUUCCUUCUAGACUCUACAGCUGACUUCCACAUGCUUCUCUAUACUCAGUUGUCAGAUCAAGAGGGGGGCCAAGUCGGUGCUGUGUCUCCUGAAGUCAACAAUGAGCUCUUUGGUUUUCUUAGUGUUCAGUGCCAGGUUGUUUUCUGAACACCAUGCUGCCAGCUUCAGGACUUCCUCUCUGUACUCUGCCUCGUCUCCCUUCGAGAAGAGUCCGACUACCGUGGUGUCAUCAGCAAACUUGAUGAUGAGAGUGUUGUUGUGGGUCGAACUGCAGUCGUGGGUGUAGAGAGAAUUCAUGAGAAUAUAUGAACAAUAACAGUGGCAUCCUCUCUCCAUCCACUGUAAAACAGAUGAGUUCUUCCCUGCCACCUUUCUGUAUGGAGAGAAUGUGAUAUUUGGACGAUUUAACAUUAAUCCUGGUCCACGCAUGAAGUUCUUCAAACCUUUCCAGGAGCCAAAUGAUGUUUGAAGAAGAGUUAUUAAAUCAUCCAUGUAACCCUUCAAAGCUGGCAAUCAUUGGCCUGGCUGCGUUCUUACUUCUCUGACUCCUGUUUAUAUUUUGUUUGAGAUACAGUACUGUAUCUGACAAGUAUAGAAAGGCACUACCUUCCUCACUGUGGAAACACUUGAUGCAGUCAAAAACCUAGCAUAAAAUGUUACGCUUUGGGAUGAGAACGUGUUGGAAUGACACUACCUGCAGCAAACAAGAUGAACCACAGAAACCACAUUUUCCAGAUUAAGAUUUGAGCUCUGAUGCUCAAGAGUGAGUUUUUUGUCAGGACUUUACUGAUCAACCUUUAGAAAAUACCAUUUUAAUAGACUAACUCAUCUUGUUUUUAAUGGAAAAUCAUUUUCUUCUUGUUCUUUCAUCUGCUACCUUUAAGAAUAA
ensembl:lncRNA